CCCAAGAAUACUGGAGUGGGUAACCUAUCCUUCUCCAGAGGAUCUUCCCUAACUCGGGGAUUGAACCUGGGUCUCCCGCAUUGCUGGCAGGGAAGUCCUUAUAGUAUUCAAAGACAUUAUUAGUUUUAUAAAGUGUAUUUCUAGGCAGCUAUGCAGAUACAAAUGGACACACAUGCUUAUAUAUGCCUUAGAAAUAGAUACAAAAACAUGAAAUGUUUAUUUUUUUAGUUAAAAAGAGUCCACCCGCCUGAGUGGUUGUGACUUUAAUCUGUAUGUUUUCCUCUGUGUCUUUGUGUUUUCACCUCUGUGUUCCCACCCGGCUAAAGGAGUGUGGAGGCUCGGGUCUACUCAUUCGAAUCCUAAUCCAGACGAACGCCCUUCCCACCUUUGGCUCAGGGGGAGGUGUGCCUGAUGAAUAAGAGUGCAGGUGGAGUUUGAACUCUCUUGAUCUGCAUCCAGGGAGCCAGUCAGCUGCCUCCCACCCGCACCCAGCCUCAGGACGCCCCUGAUCGGGUAGUUGAGUUCUCGGGUAGUUUCAUCUCAGCAAGGGGAAGAACUGGGGUUGGCUCACGAAGACUAUAGGUGGGAACAAAAAUAGAAACUCCUGACAGCUUGAUUUCCCUUUGCUGGCAUCAGGCUCGGAUCAGCGGAGCUCGAGGAGAGCCUGCAAAAUGAACAGACGCAGGGCAGUCCUGCCCCGGGUCUUCAACCACCUCAGCAGGGCUGAAGGGAAGGCACGUUACUGCAGGCAGGCAGCUCCGAGAAACCACUGCAUUUCUGAGAAUCCCUGAGCAGUUAGCAGUUGUAAAUAAAGGAGCCGGGACAGCCAGUUUCAUUUUCCAAGUUUUGGAUUAUACUGUGAGAAAUGCAUAUGAGCAUAUGUAUCCAAUAACAGCACUAAUAUAGAGGGAAGCUCUCCCCCAGCUCCUUCCCUCUUCGCCUCUUUGCUGCCUUCAAAUUGGUAUUUCAGAGCCUUAAGUCAAACUGUGUUUUAUUAAGAGAAUGGGUUAUUUGAGAUACGGUUGUGACAUUUACCAGGGCCGGGCCCAGCUGUAGUUCUGCCAAGAUCCUUCAUGCCGAAUCUGAAUUUCACUGUGGAGAGAGCCCUGCUCUGCUCCGUUUUGCUUGGCUUGGAUGAUUCCGUUCAGUUCCUACCCAAGUGGCAGGGGUUUUUCCUGCCAAGAGCAGGAUGAUUUCCCGGCCACUGGGACAGUGUCUGUUGAUAGCGUGGGUGGUUCACAGAAGCUCGAUGCAUCCAACCGCAUGAGCUUGGCUGUCUUCUCCACGAAUGGGAUUCCAGAAAAAUCACAACACCGUUGCUCCCGGGACUGCCGUGAGACGGAGCAAGGGGCUGCUGGCACCUUGGACUUGGACGUGGCCAAGGAGCCCAAGGGGGCCCAGAAAAACUCUUGGAAUACAAGACUUGAACUGAAUCCUCAAAUUCACGUUUUGAAACCGUUGCCUUCUUUCCUGCUGGUCCCGCACCAGCACAUCACUGGUGCCAUCUUACCAAGAAGACAGUUCCCAGGAGGCUGCCCCAGAUUACCUGGUAGCCUCUCCUUUUCAAACUGCUGUUGGAUGCCGGCCCCUGCCUCGCCCCACCCCAGCCCCACCCAUAAUCAUCUCUGAGAUGUGGUCUUGAGAGCUGUGAGAUGAAAUGCUAAGACCUACAUUAGGGUGGGAGCACGCACAUCUCCCGGGACCCCAUCAGGGUAGAGCACACAGGUCUGCUGAGAGUUGACCAGGGUGGGCGCACCCCAGAUUCUCCUGUUUAAUGAGGUCACCAAAUAUUGGCAGUUAGCAAGGACAUUUGGCAAGCAUUCAGUCUCCUUUCUUUUCCCUAGUGGAACUCUAUCCUCUGGGUCUCGAGAAAGGGAAAUAUUUACAAGAUCUUCCAACACGAGAUGCCAUAAAGCUGAAUGACUUCCUUUGUCUGAGGAGCCGAUUGCUCUCUUCUUGAGGUUAUUUCGAUUCCACUUAAGCAAGAUGGCUGCGCUGGGUCCUAGCGGUGGUGUGCGGGGUCUUGGAUCUUCAUGCUGCAUGUGGGAUCUUGAGUCACAGCUGGCAGAUUCUUAGUUGUGGCCUGUGGGAUCUAGUUCCCUGACUGGGGAUCGAGCCCACGCCCGCUGCUUUGGGAACGCAGAGUCUUAGCCACUGGACCACGGGGGAAGUCCCUCAUGUUGUUUUUAAAAUGGAACAGAACAUAAAUGCUUUGAAGCCACUCAUGAAGAAUAGCCCUCUUACCCCAGCAGCAGGGAGACCGAGUCCAGCAGACCUGUCGUAGUUGGGUCAACAGCAGGGCCGGUGGACCCCCGCCGGCCCCAGGGGUGGGUGCUGCUCCUCCUGCGUGUCUUGUCUGAGUGAGUUUGGUACUUUCGACCGAGGGGCUCUUGCGAGAGGAACCAUCGGGAGAGUCUGUGACACACAUUUCACUGAAAUUAAAAAUUGCAGUAGAGAUGGCAAUUAUUUUGAAUUAUCCUCAGAAUGAUUAAGAAAAUGAUACCCUUAAAUAAAUGUUUGAAAGAAA